ACUUAACCUGACUUGAGUUCUAUUAUUGAGCUCACAUCGCCACUCAUCUCUUAUCUGUGAUUAUAUCUUUCUUUCUCUCUCUCAUUUAACUUUGAAAUAAUUUUGACAAUUCUGUUUGACUCAUUGUACUCUGUAAUAACAUUGCGUCGAGAAAGUUUGAGAAAAACAAGAAUGGAGUCCACAUCUAGCAAAGAGGAGCAAAACAAUCAAGAAGAUUCAGAUUCUUCAGAAAUGGAUGAGGUAGAACCCAGACUAAAGUAUAUACGGAUACGCAAUGAUUUAGAACAUAUUCUGCAAAAUGAUGCAGCUAGUUGUAUUGCUGUGCAUCCAAAGUUUCUCUGUUUGGGAUCACAUUGGGGAAUGAUCCAUCUUCUAGAUCAUCAGGGUAAUAAUGUAAAGUCUAAAACACUACAGGCACAUACAGUGGCAGUUAAUCAAAUCUCCAUAGAUCAUAAUGGGGACUUCAUCGCUUCUUGCAGUGAUGAUGGAAAAGUUUUCAUUUAUGGAUUAUACAGUACAGAGGAUAAUCACAAUAUGAGCAUGGGUAGACUAGUUAAAAGCAUAGCAAUUGACCCAAAUUAUUAUAAAAGUGGCAGUGGCAGAAGAUUUAUUACAGGUGAUGACAAGUUGGUGCUCUAUGAAAAGACUUUUUUGGCCAGGAUGAAGCCAACAGUACUCUGUGAAGCGGAAGGUGGAGUCAAAUCCGUUGCAUGGUCUGGUCGCUUUGUAGCAUGGGCCUCUGAUACUGGUGUGAGAGUCUAUGAUCUCGAUGCUAGAUGUUCAUUGGGACUUAUCAAAUGGUCUCGUACUCCAGAUACAUUGCCAGAGCACUAUAGAUGCAAUUUACAGUGGUCAGACAGUAAAACAUUGUUAAUUGGAUGGGUGGACAUUGUACGCAUUUGUCAUAUCAGAAAACGUACCAUGCAGGAGAUGGUGAAUCGAGAUUUGCCUGAAUUUGUAGUAGAUCCAGUAUCUACAUUUCAAGUAGAUUUUUAUAUAUCUGGUAUAGCGCCAUUGAAAAAUCAAUUGGUAUUGCUGGGAUGCUUAAAAGAAUUAGACGAAGAUGGAAAAAAUCAACGUCCGACACUGCACGUGGUUGAACCAAAAUAUCAGGAUUUUUCAGUGCUAUGUGCAAACUCACUUACUCUACGUGGCUACAAAGAAUACAGCUGCAAUGAUUAUCAUUUGGAUUGUUUAAAGGAGGAAAAUAGGUUUUUUAUCGUAAGUCCAAAAGAUAUCGUGGUAGCUAGUUUAUACGAUACAGAUGACAGAAUCGAAUGGUUAUUGAGCCACGGGAAAUUUGAGCAAGCUUUAGAAGCAGUAACAACGAACAAUGGCAAAGAUUGCAAAAGGCAUACUGUAUUAGACGUGGGACGAAUUUAUUUGGAUCACUUGUUAGCAUAUGAGAAAUAUGAUGAGGCUGGAAAACUUUGCCUGAAAAUUCUAGGAAGAAAUAAAAAGUUGUGGGAAGAAGAGGUUUAUAAAUUCGCCAGACUGCACCAGUUACGCUCUAUUUCAUCUUAUUUGCCUCGAGGCGAUGUCACCCUUGAUCCACUAGUGUAUGAGAUGGUGCUAUAUGAGUAUUUAAAGAUGGAUCCCGACGGUUUCUUGCAGUUGGUCAAAGAAUGGUCUCCAACCUUAUACACAGUGGCAGCGGUAGUUAAUGGCGUAUUGGAGCAUUUACUAGUCCACAAUCAACGACAGAAUGUAUUAUUGGAAGCAUUAGCUAUUUUAUACAUCCAUGAUGGAAAAUACGAUAAAGCACUCGCCAUGUACUUGAAACUGCGACACAAAGACGUCUUUCAGCUGAUUCAGAAGUAUCAGUUGUAUAAUUCUGUUUAUGAUAUGAUCGAAGGUCUAAUGGAUCUAGACACUGAACGUGCCAUACAAUUUUUUUUGGAAAAAGAUAGAGUAGCAUCUGAUGUCAUUGUACAGAAAUUACAACAUAAUCAUCGUUAUUUAUACUUGUAUUUAGAUGCCUUAGACAAGAGAGAUACUAAAGACUCUAAGGGCAAAUAUCAUGGCUUACUAGUGCGACUAUAUGCUGAUUAUUCAAGAGACAAGUUAUUGCCGCUUCUACGUCGCUCUGAUAAUUAUCCAAUACAACAAGCUUUAGAUAUCUGUAGCCAGCGUCAAUUUUAUCCGGAAAUGGUGUAUUUGUUGGGCAGGAUAGGAAACACUUCUGAAGCUUUGGCGCUCAUGACGAGAGAACUCGACGAUAUGGAGAGUGCGAUUGCAUUUUGUCAAGAACACGAUGACGAAGAAUUAUGGAACGAUCUAGUUAAUUACUCGCUCGACAAACCUACGGCAAUUACAUUUCUUCUUCAAAAGAUUGGCACCUACGUUGAUCCCCGACUUAUGGUACAAAGGAUAGAACCUACUUUGGAAAUUCCAGGGCUGAAGAAAGCAUUAGUCAAAAUGAUGUGCGAUUAUAAUCUGCAAGUAUCUGUUCAAGAAGGUUGCAAAAAGAUACUAUCUAAUGAUUAUUUCAAUCUCCAUGAACGACUUGUUCGUUGUCAGCAAAAAGGCAUAUUUGUCGAUGAUGAUCAAAUGUGUGGAGCUUGCCAUAGGAAGAUAAUUGUAAGAGAGCUACGGAAUAUAGUUGUAUUUUAUUGUAAGCAUUGUUUUCACGAGGAUUGUCUACCUAACUUUGAAUUUGUUGAAAAUUGUGUGAUAUGCAACUCGCAGGAGAUGACACUUGGCAGAAAAUGAUAAAAGUAAUAGCACUAUAUUAUGUGACAUGUGCAAUAUCCAAAGUUCAAAGAUGAUCUAUCAGAUAUUCUGUGUAUUGAGCUAUAUUGUAAGCCUGGAAAAAAAGAGAAAAAAG
rnacentral:misc_RNA from 1 species